GGGAGCCGUAUGCCUUAAUAGGGCACGUACGGUUCUGAGAGGGGGGCGGUUGGUAACAACCGUCUCUACCUCAAC
rnacentral:ncRNA from 2 species